rnacentral:rRNA from 1 species
GAUGAACGCUGGCGGCGUGCCUAACACAUGCAAGUCGAGCGAACAGACGAGGAGCUUGUUCCUCGGACGUUAGCCGCGGACGGGAGAGUAACACGUGUAUAACCUACCUAUAUGACUGGUAUAACCUCGGGAAACCGGAGCUAAUACCGGAGAAUAUAUUGAACCGUAUGGGUCAAUAGUAAAAGUCGGCUUUUCUGGCUCUUAUAGAUGGAUCCGCGCCGCAUUAGCUAGUUGGUACGGUAACGGCUUACCAAGGCAACGAUGCGUAGCCGACCUGAGAGGGUGAUCGGCCACACUGGAACUGAGACACGGUCCAGACUCCUACGGGAGGCAGCAGUAGGGAAUCUUCCGCAAUGGGCGAAAGCCUGACGGAGCAACGCCGCGUGAGUGAUGAAGGUCUUCGGAUCGUAAAACUCUGUUACUAGGGAAGAACAAAUGUGUAAGUAACUAUGCACGUCUUGACGGUACCUAAUCAGAAAGCCACGGCUAACUACGUG